GCCCCUGUAGUUCAACGGAUAGAAUAGAGGUUUCCUAAACCUUAGAUUGGGGUUCGAUUCCCCACGGGGGUA
rnacentral:tRNA from 1 species